CUGCGCCAUGCACGUGAACGCUUGUUGCAGCUGUGUGCGGUGUGUGCCUGUGCCUUGGUGUCUGUGUAUUCGUGUCUUCUUUGUGGCAUCUCACGUCAACUACACUGAACACGCAGGAUGGUCCUACCACAAGUUCAAGCACUUUUUGGCCACCUGGUUCCUUGCUGGGGCCAUGUCCGAAGAAUUUCCGAGCUAUUGAAGUGGGCGUUGCGGACACGCAGGUCCUUGGGCCCCCGCACGGCCCCACUGCACUCAAACGUUCAUGUCCCGGAGGCUCAUGACGCUGGCAGCACGGCCUGUGGCGGUGGCUUGCUUGGCCGGUUCCUCUGAGCGCAGUAGGGUCUCCCAAGCCUCCCAAGU